CGCGCUACUUCUCUAUCUCUGUCCUUCAGAUCCCAAGUUUAAGCUCAAACUUUCUCCUUCUCUACCUAAAGCCCUAUCCCUCUCAUCCCCUCACUCCUCUCCUCUCCACCUGAAACCUUGUCAUCGCUUCCUCAUCCAACUAUCCGACUACCUCUUCGACGCGGACAUCCGAGUCCAUUCGACAACCUCAUCCGACUCCACAGCGGAAAGUUCUCGUACUCUCAUCAUUCUCCUCCGACUUGGUGGUCAGCGGGAUACUCCUCUCAUCUCAUGCUCCUCUCGUUCAACUACAUUGAUCUAACUCCUCUCAGUGCCAGAAACUUGUAAUACGUUGGAUUACCGACCAAUUGAAAACGAAUCUCAGAUUAAAAUAGCUUCUUCUUUGGAGAUGGACACUUGAAAUUCAUGACCAUGGUGGAAGGCUUCGAAGGAUGGAAAAGAAUUUCAAGGCGAUGAUUUAUGUGAUUGUAUUCUACGUCAUUUUGUACUUUAUAAUGUAAACUAGUUAAACAUUUAGGUUUUGGGGAAUUUUAUGGAUGUAAUUAUCGAUGUACUGGACAUGAUGUAAUUAUGGAUGUACCUAUGGAUGUACUGGACAUGAUGGAUCAAGUAUAUAUGUUAUCUCUUCAAUGUUGUCAUGAA